UUUAUCGCGGAUGUCACUAAUUUGAUACAUUUCUGUGAAAAUCAUAUCCGAAGAUAUCGCUUUCUUCGAAUUCUUAUUCGUUGUCGGAAAGAAGGGUUCCACCGAAGUGUCACGUCUUUUAUGAUACCAAAGCGACACUACUACAAAGAACUAUGUAUUUCGAUAGGAAUAGGAAAGGUAAAUGCGUAUUUGAUAAAAUAUAAAGAAAAAUUUUGGGGCUUGGAAUCGCAGACACCAAGCAUAAUCACUCAACAGAUCUGUUUAAAAGGAAAAUAAUUUUAACGAGACUAAGCAAAAGACUUAAGGAGUAGAAAUCGCGUGGAAACAUUUUCAAAAAAAAGAAAAGCGAUAUUUUUUUUCCUGAAAUAAGCUUAUUAACUCCAAUUAUAAUUGAUCCACAACACAGGCCAACAAGAUUUCAAAAAAUUUUGAGGCACGGAAACUCAGCCCUGAUUCUUACAGAAUUUUUCCCGUAGGAUCAAAAUCUGAAAUUAGAAAUGCUACCAGUUUUUAAGAUAUUUUGACUUAAAAGUACCAAAAUACAAAUUUUUGGCAUUUUUUAAACAUCUAUAAGGAAUAACGGGGUCUGGUAGAAUCUUUUGAAUACGAUGUAAAAAAAGCUUUUAAAAAGCAUCAGCUACAAAAACAAGUUUAAAAA